GAUUCAGAUUUGAUCUCUCUCUUCCUGACGCGAGAAGCAGUCAUCAGACCACAACAAUAACCUGAGAAGAAAUCGUUUCUGCAGAGAGAGAGAUGAGGUUGUUCGAUCCAUGGCCAGUGUUCUUCAAGAGAGAAUGGAAACGUUGCUGGCCGUUCCUCACCGGUUUCGCCGUCACCGGCGUCCUUAUCACCAAGUUAACCGCCGGAUUCACUGAGGAAGAUGCCAAGAACUCCAAGUUCGUCCAGCAACACCGGAGGUGAUGAUGAUGAUUCACGAAAGUGUAGAAGCUAAGAGACAUAUUUCUGGAACAUAUUGUGUCGGAUGCUUCAGCUUUGAAACUUGUUCAAUAACAAAGGAAGAGCAUUCUAUAAUACUCUUUUCUUUCUCUGAGUUUUGCAAUUCUUUUUUUUUUUCUUUCUGAAACUUAGCAAUGCUAUGGUUUUGUUCACUCUCGUUGGAAAUGGAUUCAAUAAGGCUUUGUCUCCCCAAUGAAUAUUAACCUUUUGUUCUAAUAAUCCUGUCAGUGGUUCCAAUCUUAA